UACGGGGGGGGCAAGCGUUGUUCGGAAUUACUGGGCGUAAAGGGCUCGUAGGCGGCCAACUAAGUCCGACGUGAAAUCCCAAGGCUUAACCUUGGAACUGCGUCGGAUACUGGAUGGCUUGAAUUCGGGAGAGGGAUGCAGAAUUCCAGGUGUAGCGGUGAAAUGCGUAGAUAUCUGGAGGAAUACCGGUGGCGAAGGCGGCAUCCUGGACCGAGAUUGACACUGAUGAGCGAAAGCUAGGGGAGCAAACGGG
rnacentral:rRNA from 1 species